rnacentral:pre_miRNA from 1 species
AUCACCCAGAGAGGUUGUUAAAAUGCAGAUUCUGAUCCAGUAACUGUGGAAUCUGAGAUUCUUCAUUUCUAACAAGCUCCCAGGUGAUGUCCA